rnacentral:rRNA from 1 species
CCUACGGGAGACAGCAGUCGAGAAUCAUUCACAAUGGGGGAAACCCUGAUGGUGCGACGCCGCGUGGGGGAAUGAAGGUCUUCGGAUUGUAAACCCCUGUCAUGUGGGAGCAAAUUAAAAAGAUAGUACCACAAGAGGAAGAGACGGCUAACUCUGUGCCAGCAGCCGCGGUAAUACAGAGGUCUCAAGCGUUGUUCGGAAUCACUGGGCGUAAAGCGUGCGUAGGCUGUUUCGUAAGUCGUGUGUGAAAGGCGCGGGCUCAACCCGCGGACGGCACAUGAUACUGCGAGACUAGAGUAAUGGAGGGGGAACCGGAAUGCUCGGUGUAGCAGUGAAAUGCGGAGAUAUCGAGAGGAACACUCGUGGCGAAGGCGGGUUCCUGGACAUUAACUGACGCUGAGGCACGAAGGCCAGGGGAGCGAAAGGGAUUAGAUACCCCUGUAGUC